rnacentral:lncRNA from 1 species
UAAUGCUGAAAGCAUAAGUAAGGCGUUUGAUUUGAGAAUUUGGGUAUGUGUAUCCGAUGAUUUUGAUAUUACAAGAUUAACAAAAGCCAUUAUAGAGUCCAUUGAAGGAAAGUGCAGUAUAGAAGAACUAGAUCCCCUGCAAAGACACCUACAAGGAAAACUAAUUGGGAAAAGGUUUUUGCUUGUAUUGGAUGAUGUGUGGAAUGAAUAUCACGAAAAGUGGGAAGGAUUGAAGGAAGCAUUUAGAUGUGGUGCGAAAGGAAGCACAGUUAUAGUCACUACCCGUGUCGAGAAAGUUGCCCUUAUGAUGACAACUACUCCUAUACACCACUUGGGAAGUUUGUCCUGUGAUGAUUCUUGGUCCUUAUUCAAGCAGCGUGCGUUUAGGAUGGGAAAGAGCGAGGAUUACCCACUCUUAGAAGCACUUGGAAAGGAAAUAGUUAAGAAGUGUGGAGGGGUGCCCUUAGCAAUAAAGGCUUUGGGAGGUUUGUUGCGUUUCAAAGAAAGAGAGAGUGAGUGGCUAUCGAUCAAAGAAAGCGAGAUGUGGGAAUUGGCAGAUGAGGGGAGCAAAGUCUUAUCUGUGUUGAAUUUGAGUUACAGACGUCUAAAACCGCAUUUGAGACAAUGUUUUACAUUUUGCUCUAUAUUUCCCAAAGAUUAUGUCAUGAGUAAAGAGCAGUUGAUACAACUUUGGAUGGCUAAUGGCUUUGUUCCUUCAAGAGGACAAAUGAAUUUGCAUGACGUGGGGUGUGAAAUCUUCAAUGAAUUAGCUUGGAGGUCCUUUUUCCAAGAACUCGUGGAGGAUAUUGAAGGAAAUACAACAUGUAAAAUGCAUGACCUUAUCCAUGAUCUUGCACAAUCAAUUAUGAGUUGCGAGUGCUCUGUGACUGAACCAAGUCAGCUAGUGUUGACUGCGCCCAAAACAGUUCGUCACAUGUUUGCUUCUGGUAAUUCGUCUAUAUUUGCUCCUUCAAAUGUGGACAACCUACCCAAAGUCUGUUCCUUGCGCACAUUGAUUGUACGUAACAACUUCCAUUGGAGAAUUGCAACUAAACAGAAGCAUCUGAGGGCAUUAGACGUUAUAUUUAAUGGAGGAAUGAAAAUCUCAAUUGAUGAUAAUUUCAGACAUCUAAGGUAUCUGAGCCUUGUUAAUUCUGAAAUUGAAACACUGCCAGAAUCAAUAUGCAGCUUCCACAAAUUGCAGACACUAAAUCUGGGAUUUUGUUAUCAGCUUCGCAAAUUACCCAAAGGUUUGAAGCUCUUGAAAAAUCUUACAUAUUUAGACAUAACAUAUUGUAAUGCACUUACUUGUAUGCCUGUUGGCCUGGGGCAAUUGUCUUGCUUGCGUAGGCUGAGCAAGUUCGUUGUGGGAAAGGACCGUGGCUGCUGUAUAGACGAAUUAAAAGGGCUGGCCCUUGAGGGAGAGCUUUGCAUUGAAGAACUUGAUAAUGUAAAAAGUUCAAUCGAUGCUAAAAGUGCCAAUCUGAUAAUGAAGCAAAAUCUAAGAUCACUACGCUUAUCUUGGCGCGAAAUCGACAAUUGUUACCUACAUGAAAAUGCUGAAGAGGUUCUUAGUGGUCUCCAACCUCAUUCAAGUUUGAAGGCGCUAAGCAUACGAAAUUACCAUGGUCCAAAGUUUUCAUGUUGGUUGAUGGAUCUCCUUGUUCCAAACCUAGUUCACAUCACACUGCAAAAUUGUGAAAGAUGUGAAUGCCUUCCACCUUUUGGUAAAUUACGCUUCCUCAAGUCCCUUACCGUUACUGGAAUGGAUGCUCUAAAAUCUAUUGAUAAUAGCUUCUAUGGAGAUGGCGAGAGUUCAUUCUCGUCACUGGAGAGUCUCUGUUUCGAGCAUAUGCUUUCUUUCGAGGUAUGGACGACAGUGAAUGGGAAAGAAAAUUUUCCACAGCUAAGAUCAUUAGUUAUAAGAGAUUGUCCUAAGCUAGUUGAAUUGCCAAUGCUUCAAUCUCUGAAAAGAUUAGAAAUUAGAGAAACCAGCGUCUCAUUACUUAGGUCCGUGAUGCAUUUCACUUUUCUCACCUCUCUCUUACUUGGCGGCUUUGAUGGCUUGACGGUUUUGCCAGAUGGACUAUUGCAAAAUUACAAGCACCUUGAAAGCUUGACAAUAUGUUCUGAUAAUCUGAAAUCUCUGUCAAAUCUUCUAGAUAACCUAUCUGCUCUCAAGAAAUUGGAUUUUCAAAUCUGCCUAGUGCUUGAAAGUUUUCCCACAGGACUAGAAAACCUGAGCUCUUUAGAGAGUUUGCAUUUAAUUCAGUGUGACAGCCUUGUCACCCUUCCAGAAAAUGGAUUGCGUGGUUUAUCUUCCCUUUCUUCGCUGUGGAUUCAAGGUUGUAAGAAAUUAGCCUCUUUGUCUGAUGGGUUGAGAUAUCUGACUUCGCUCCAAGACUUACUCGUCAACGGAUGUCCAAAGUUAAACUCAUUACCGGAGUGUAUCCAACAUCUCUCUGCACUUCAGAGUAUGAGGAUUUGGAAUUGUGAGAGAUUAACUUCUCUGCCAAAUGGGAUAGAAAACCUUGCCUUGCUUUCAGAAUUGGAGAUCAUGCGUUGCGAUAAUCUAAUGUGUCUGCCUCAAGGGCUACAGAGUCUCACGGCACUCACAAAAAUGAGGAUUAUAGGAUGCCGACAUCUGGAAAGGCGGUGCAGGAGAGAGAGAGGAGAGGAUUGGCCCAUCAUAGCCCACAUUCCUUCUAUUGUAAUCAUGUCUGGUGAAGAGUACGUUUUUCGAGGACGAGGAAGGCCUCUUGGCAAUCGGUUAACAAGGUGAUUUAUCAAUUUUUAGUUUUAUUUAUUCAUUUAUUUUAUUCGACUCCGUUCGAGAAGCUUUAAGCUAGUCAUUGCUCGAAUGCUAUGAUUAUCUUCUUCAAAUGGUUAAAUUUAUUGAUCCUGCCUUGCAGAGCACACCAUAUAGGAUAUGACCAUUGCAAUCUAUGUAUAAAUUAUUUCGAUCUUUUUUGCUUUUUAUGUCUUUGUUUUUUGCUAAGAUUUUGAGGUUGAAACAAACUUGAUCUACAAUACAACAGAAUAAGAUACGACCAUUGCAAUCUAUGCAUCAAUCUUUGUACCGGUUACUUAAUAGCUGCAACAUUCAUGCCGUAAUGCAUUGGUCCUUCAUAAGGAAUGUUGCCAUUCGAUGAAUUUAAGAUAUAUUACUCUGUCUAAAUAUAUUUUCAGGGUUGGGGAUUGGACAAAUGGGCUCUUCAGAAAGUUUUUGAAAUCUUAGCCCAAUGUACGAAUAACAUGGAAGAAACCUGAUGGGUGAGAUGAAUUUCACAAUGGUGUGGAGUAUCAGAGUUGCGCAAUGCAUCAAAGUUGUGCUCUGUAAUUCAACAUUUUCUGGGAUGUGUACUGUUGCCUUCACUUUAAUUGGUAUGUUUUAUUGUCUUUUGUACACUGCAUUAGAAUCAUGGUGCAUCAAGGAUGAUUGUAAUAACUGAAAACGAGCAUUUCCUUCAAAUUGGUCUUUGAUGAUUAUACAAUCAUUUUAGGAUGUCAAUAUGCAAGUUUGAUUACUUAUAUACUAAAGUGAUUGUGUUAAAUUUGUGAUGUACUCUAGAGCACACUACUAUUCAUGUUCAAUUUAACAUUGAAUUUGGGGUACCUUGAAUUUGAAUUUCUGUAUUUUGGACUUAGAGCUUGUUUGGCUUAGUUUUUUUUAACUUAAAAACUAUUAUUAAGCUCUUAUGAAAAUAAUAGAUUUAAAAAUUAAACUAAAAUUGUUUGGUAAACUGUUUAACAAAAUAAAUUAUAUAAGUUCUAAUUUUGAUUAAAAUUAUCAUAAAGGGUAUUCAUGCCAUCUUCAAUCACCUAAUAUGCUAUAAUGUAAUGCUUUAAGUUUAUAUAUAAUUUCAUAUGUUAAAAUCGAAGAAAUCAAUAAAAAAAAAGAAUAACUUUCAAACUUGUAUAGUAGCAAUAGUAUUGGAUUUUUGUUGAUUUAACAAGCAAUCAAACCAUAACGCUUCAAUUUCAAAAAAAGAAGAAAAAAGAGGAAACGAUGUAUUUAAUAUUAAAAUCUUUUUUAGUGAAAAAGAGAAAAAAAUCUUUAAAUAGUAUCUGAAUGCAGUUUUGAAUUUUAGAUUUUUUUUCUCUCAAUCUUUGUAAGAAUAAAAAAAUUCUAGAUUUUGAUAUUUUGUUGUUGGGUUUUUUGUUUUUAUUUUUUGUAGAGAGAGGUAGAGAAGAGGGAAAUCGUGAUUUACAUUGAAGAAUGGUAAUUUGUAGAGGGAAAGAGAGAAGAGGGAGAUUAAUUGAGAGAGGGGUAUUUUCAGAAAAUUAAUGUGUUUUUAAAAGAAGAGAAGAAAAAGCUCCUCCCUGGAGCUUUUUUUUAAGCUCUUUUUUAAAAAAAUUUUGUUCUUAAAAAAAGUUAUUUUUUUUAAAAGCUUCUCAAAAGAUCAAGUUUGGCCUGACUUUUGCUUUUAAGAAGUAGAUAAGUUGAAAAAAAGUUAGGCCAAACAUGCACUUAACCUCAUGAUCCUUAUUUUCCUUUUAUUUCUAAUAUAAAAGAGUAUUAGCAAAAUUUAGUCUUUAAAAAUUUGCAGCUUUCCUUCUUUGCAUUAGGUUUCUGCAAGCUCUGUUUGCAACAAGUUUCGACAACAUUUUAAUCCUUAGUGUUUAACUCUAUUUUGAAGAAAUCAAUUCAGCUGCAACUUAUUUCACCUGCAACUUAUUUCACCUGAAACAAUCAAAAGAAGAGAAAAAAAAAAAGGUAGGGAAACUUUGAGACGUAGACCACUUGAGAAAGCUUGGAGGGUAAUAUAAAGUGCGUUUUGGUUGGGGAUAUUAAUAGAGUUCUUCAGGUCCAUCAUUUAGGAACUAGAAGGAUAAAAACAAUUGCAUAAAUAGGUUUGGUCAAACAGGCAGGAUUGUUCUUCAUGGAAAACCUUUUUCUUAACCAACUUUGAAUAAUAUAUGCUUUUAAGUGCAGAGGACCAACGGGUGUGUUAUUGUUGAAUUUUGCAAAACUAAAUUUCUCAAGUCAUUAAAGAAACCAUACCAUGUAGGUAAAAGCUGAUCAAAUGGUCCAGUACAUUUUACUUAUGUUGAGCUAAGACUUGCAUUGAAGACCUCCUUAAGCAAGUCAUUAGCUAAGGGUCCAUGCUUUGUUGGAUAUUUUCAAAUAAAAGAUAUGAUUUCAUAUCUUAAUAGAAGGAAAAAUUGUAAUUGUUGGAAAUUAAAUUAAAAGAAGGGUUAUGUUUGUUGAAAAUAAAAAUAAAUAAAUAAAUAAAUAAAAUAAAAAAGAGAGAGAAUAAGAAAAAGAGUUAUGUCUGUUGGAAAAGACCAACAUGAUCAACUCUUUGAAACAGACACAAAUAGUGUCUAUUGGGAAUAGGCAUUUAUGCCUAUAAAAGAGACUCUUUUUAUCCAACAAAAACGUACAUCAGAAAAACAAAAACUUUUCUUCCUUUCUCAAAUUUCUCAAGUUUUCUUCUAUACUAUUUUCUUAUAGAAAAAUACUAUAGAAGUUUGAUAAUCUUGUUAUACUCUGGUGAGUCAAUGGAUUGAUUUCGUCAAUGCAAAACGCCGUCAAUCAUUGGGUUCGUUGUAUCUUCGAGGUUUAUACACCGGUAACUCUUUUGUACACUAUAAGUGGGGGCCAACAAAACCUCAAGGACAGUGGCAUUGAUACACGCCUUGAAGCCAAUUUCUAAGUUUUCAGUUUGGUGUUUUAACAAUCUUAAGGUUUUAUUUUGUUCCAACAAUGGCUGCUGCAAGUGAAACACUAAGAGAAUUAGCUUCCGACUUUGUAAAAUUGGGCUGGUUUGAUGGUGGCAACUUUCUAAGAUGGCAAAAGAAGAUGCAUUUCCUACGAUCAGCCUUGAAAGUUGUCUAUGUUUUGACUACACCUAGACCAGAAAAAGGAGAAAACGAAUCUGUUGCUGCAACGAGAGAAAGGCAAAAAUGGGACAAUGCUGAUUAUAUGUGCAAAGGUCACAUCUUGAAUGGUUUGGUUGAUGGCUUAUUUGACACAUACCAGAACGAGGCUACUGCGAAAGAUUUAUGGGACAAACUCAAAGCCAGGUACAUGACAGAAGAUGCAACAGGUAAGAAAUUUCUAGUUAGUUGCUUUAUUAAUUAUCAAAUGGUUGAUGGGUGUUCUGUUAUAGAACAACUAUGAGAAAUUGAAAGAAUGCUUAAUCAGUUUAAACAAUAUAAAAUGAAAAUGGAUGAAACUAUAGUUGUAUUCUCUAUUAUAGACAAACUUCCUCCAUCAUGGAAAGAUUUUAAAAGAAGUCUAAAACACAAAAAGGAAGAAAUAACUCUUGAGGCUUUGGCAAAUCAUCUUUGAAUUGAAGAAGAAUAUAGGAAACAAGAACAAGUUGUUGUUUCUAGUGACGCCAAAGUACAUGUUGUGGAGGAAAGACAGACCACUAAACCUGCCAAAAAGAAGUUCAAGCAUAUUGCUAAUGGUUCGAAAUUCAAAAGACAAAAUAAAAGCUCAUGUUUCUAUUACGAAAAACCAGGACAUUUUAAGAAAAAGUGUCGAUUAUUGAAGAGGAAAAAUAAUUCUUCAAAAAGAAAAGUUUCUGAAAAUUUUAUAGCCAUGAUUCCUGAAAUCAAUGUGCUUGAAGAAAAUGAUGCUUGGUGGAUUUAUUCAAGAGCAACAAAACAUGUGUGCAAUGACAAGAGUCUUUUCAAGAGUUUCGUACCAAGUGAGUGUGAAAAUUUUCUAUACAUGGGAAAUUCUUCUACAGUAAUGAUUAAAGGCAAAUGGACUGUUGAACUUGAAUUCACUUAUGGAAAAACUUUUACUUUGAAAGAUGUACACUAUGUUCUAAAAGUUAGGAAAAAUUUAGUGUCUAGAAGUCUAUUAAAUAAGUUUGGUUUCAAGCUUGCAUUUAAGGCAGAUAAAUUCAUUUUGUCCAAAGGGGGAAUUUUUGUUGGGAAAAGUUAUAUGUGUAAUGGAAUGUACAAAUUAAAUAUUGUUAAUAAUAAUAAGAAUAAAACAGUUGUUUCUCAUUGUAUGAUUGAAUCUUUUUAUUUAUGGGAUUAUAGAUUAGGACAUUUAAAUUAUAGAAGAUUGGAUGACAUGUAUAAAAUGGGCUUAAUUCCAAAUUUUAAUCCAAAUAUUGAUAAAUGCAAUACAUGCAUGCUAACAAAAAUAACUAGAAAUCCUUUUCCUAAAGUUAAAAGAAAUACCAAAUUACUUGAAUUAAUACAUAGUGAUGUGUGUGAUAUGCAUAGUACACCUACAUUAGCUGAAAAGAAAUAUUUUAUCAUAUUCAUUGAUGAUUUCUCUAGAUAUUGCUAUGUAUAUUUGUUGCAUUAUAAAGAUGAAGUGCUUGAUAAAUUUAAGGUUUAUAAAUCAGAAGUUGAAUUAUAAUGUGAAUAUUUUAUCAAGUGUUUAAGAUUGGAUAGAGGUGGAGAAUAUUAUAGUUCAAGUUAUUUUGCCUCCACUAGAAUAAUUCAUAAUAUUUCAGCACCUUACACACCACAACAUAAUGGUGUAGCAAAAAGGAAGAAUAGGGUCUUGAUCGAAAUGGUAAAUGCUAUGUUAUCAUGUUCAGGUCUUGGAAAAGGUUUUUGGGGAGAAGCUUUGUUAAUAGCUUGUCAUAUAUUAAAUAGAGCUCCUAUAAAGGAAACUAAAAUGACCCCAUAUAAGCAAUGGAAGAAAAGGAAACAAAACCUUAGUUAUAUGAAAGUUUGGGGAUGUAGAGCUGUAGUUAAAGUUUCGAAACCCAAAAGAAAGAAAUUGAGUGAAAGAGGAAUAAAAUGCAUAUUCAUAGGAUAUGCUUAACAUAGUAAAGCAUAUAGGUUCAUGGUAAUUGAACCAAAUGAUUCAAUUCCAAUCAAUACUGUUAUUGAAUCAAGAGAUGCAAUAUUUAAUAAAAAUAGAUUCAAAUCUAUUUUAAAGCAACUACAGCUACUACAAUCAAUUCAAUCAAAUGUCAUUCCAUUGGAACAAAAUGAAAAUAAUGAUGAAUCUAGACCAUAAAUAAAUAAAAGCAAAAUGGCUAGAAAGGUAAAAGAUUUUGGUCCAGACUUUUAUAUGUUCCUUGUAGAAGGAACAGUAGAAAAUAUUGACAAGAAGAUUGCUUAUUAUUUUAAUUUAGAGUCAGACCUUGUUACAUAUGAUGAGGCAAUGAAGUCUCAAGAUUCUACAAUUUGGAAAGAAGCAAUCAAUGAUGAUAUGGACUCAAUAAUGGGAAAUAAUACUUGAAUUUUGGUUGAUCUUCCACUAGGUUCCAAACCAAUAAGUUGUAAAUGGAUUUUCAAAAAGAAAAUGAAAGUAGAUGAAACCAUAGACAAGUUCAAAGCAAGACUAGCAACUAAAGGCUUUACACAAAAACAAGGGAUUGACUACUUUGAUACUUAUGCUUCAGUGGUAAGAAUUGUUACAAUUAGACUUCUAAUCUCCCUUGGAUCAAUUUAUAAAUUGGUAAUUCACCAAAUGGAUGUCAAAACAGUAUUUUUAAAUGGUGAAUUAGAAGAGGCAGUCUACAUGGAACAACCAGAAGGGUUUGUUAUUUCAAGACAAGAGCAUAAAGUUUGUAAACUUGUCAAAUCAUUGUAUGAGCUUAAACAAGCACCAAAACUGUGAGACCUUGACCUUUAUAGACUCGUAGAUAGAAAUAUACGCGAUAUCCCUAAUCAGGGGUAAUUUCGUUAUUUUCUCAAUAAGCCCAUAAAAGUAAGUUUUAAACAAUAUUAUGGCUUAAGUAGGCAUAAAGCAUAAAUAAAUGAUGAGAAUAUGGGUGAAAUGACAAGGAAAUAAAAAUUUUGAUGAUUUUCAUGUUCUAGGGGCAAAAUGGUAAUUUUGUCACCCGAAGACAAAAUGGAAAUUUUUGAAAUUUUACACCACCUGACACUUGUCAUGCCCAUGGAUUUCAGCCAUUAACAUUUUACAUUGUGGAUAAUUGAAACAUUUUAUGUGGUGGAGAGAGAUUGCUUAAUGGAUAAGUAUUACAUAUGGACCAAUGGAAACAUGCCAUGUGUCAAGCUUGGAUUAUUCUAGAAUUUCUUUAUAAAAUCUAUUUAAAACUCUCUUAGUCUCACCCAUAUGACCGGCCAAAGCAUGAAGUGAAGAGGAAAGGAAAGAACACAAACCAUAGGUGGGAAAAUUGAAGAAAAAGUGUGGGAUUUAAAGGAUUAAGCUAAUUUGUGGAGGGGCAUUUUAGUAAUUUCCAAGGGAGUGGAUAAGCUUGGGCCAUAAAUAUCCUCUCCUUCUAGCAGCUUCUUGGGAUUUUCAGUAGCUUCCUCUUCUUGUUCUCUUCUUUCUCACGUUUCUUCAAUUUCUCCAUGGAAACUUGAUGUGAAGCUUUCAUAACUUUCUCUCUCCAGCUUUAAUUUUCAUACCUUGGUGCCCUUUUGACUAGAACCCUUGUAUUCUUCCACUUUCUCACUCUUAAAACCCUUGAAAAUGAUGAAAAUCUUGUUUCCAUAAUCUCUCACUAGUUAGGUUUUUUAGAGAGAGAAAAAGGAAGCUUUAUUAAUAGCUUGAGAGCUUUUGGAAAGAAGUUCAAAGUUUCAAAGCUAUCAAGGAGAGUAGUAAACUAGUAUUGGGUUUUAAGUGUUGAGAAUGACUAGAGAUUUGAUUUGUGAAUAUUUUGUAGAUGAGAUUGUUAAUUCACUUUGGAGUGAUAGGAAAGUGAAAAUGGAUGGCCAUUUAAAUGACAAUUGAAAGCUAGCUAAAAGAUAGCUUUUAGGGUUUAUAGUAUGUAAAUUGACAUUAUCAAAAUGUUAACUUGAUGAUAGGUGCUAACGAAGCCCCAUCACCCCAAUUGGAUCAUUAAGGGGAUUAAGAGUCGGCUAAAGGCUUAACGAGUACCGGUGAGUGGACUUGCAUUUCAAACUUGUUUUGGGGAGUAUGAAAGAUUCUAUCCAACUUGUCUUAGAAAAUGUACCUUGGGAACAAGCUUUUAGUAAAAUGAUUUUAUAUUGUGAAAAUGUGCUAUACAAUGGUUUAUGUGUAAUUGCAAUAUGAUAAAAUGCAUGAUAUGCAUUGGAUGCUUCUUGCAUGUUGAUGUGGACCCGACUAUGUGCGAGUAAGAGUGCACAUAAGCCGUUGUUGACCCGACUAUGUGCGAGUGGGAGUGCACAUAAGCCGUUGCUGACCCGACUAUAUGCGAGUGGAAGUACGCAUAAGCCGUUGCAUAUGACAUGAUGAUGAUGAGAGGGUGUACAUGAUGAUUGAUAUAUAUAUAUACAUAUAUGGUAUAUGGUUGUAAAUGGAAAUAUGUGAGCAUUUGAUUUGUUGAAAUUUGGGAGUUUACAUGUGUUACAUGUUGCUAUUGUUAUUUUAGCAGGAUGGCUUGUUUUAAAGGAAAAUGAGACUUUUUUCUUGAUGUUCUGACUCUCGCUGCAGUGAGAAACUCUCAAGUUUGAGGGCCUUCACCAGACCUGGUUCUCGCUGUAGCGAGAAUGAAGUUCGCUGCAGCGAGAAACUUUCUGUCCAUUUUGGCUAACUUGUGGGUUUUGCUAUAUUUUCGAUUCUUUGGUACCAUAGUUGAGUAUGGAUCUUUUAAGUGAUUUACUCAUGAGGGGUUUACAUGAGGGGUUCUACUAAGAACUAGAACAAAUUGCAUUGUUUUGAGAAAAUGAGUGCAUCAUGAUUUCGAUAAACAUUCCUUAUGGUAUGCUUGUUCCCUUCUUGUUCAUUCACUGAGUUUAUGCUCACCACUUUCAACUUCAUGUUUUCAGAUUAAGAGACAGCCGAUAUAUAGGACGAGGUGUCCUAUUGGACUUGUAUCCAUCUUUUAGUAGGUGUCUCGGCAUUCAGUAGCUGUACAUUCAUCCGAGUCUCUCCACUGGACAUCGAGUCUCUUUUUGUUGUGUAUAGACGAACCUAAUAUGAAUUAUUAAGAUACAUGUGUAGACAAUGUAUAUACACCUGUUUGGUAUGCCAGUAUGAAGUGGCAAUGCUUAAUAUUAUUUUGAUUCUAAGUUAUGAUAUAUGACUUAGCAGUUUAUGAAGGAAUGAUUAACAUGUCAGAUUAAUAGGCUUGCUUGGGAUUAGUGGACUACGUCCAUUGGGCCCAUGCGCCGAUCAUGGCUCGAAAUUUGGGUCGUGACAAAAACAAUGGCACAAAAAAUUUGAUGAAAUUGUUUUAGCUAAUGGCUACAGCAUAAAUGAAUCUGACAAGUGCAUAUAUAUCAAAUUCCAAAAUGGUAAAGAUGUUAUAAUUUGCUUAUAUAUGGAUGAUAUGCUAAGUUUUGGUACAGAUUUGGAACAAGUCGAGGAGACAAAGAAGUUUUUGUCAAAAAAACUUUGCAAUGAAAGAUAUGGGCAUAGCAGAUGUCAUUUUAGGAAUUAAAAUAUUCCGAGAUGAAAAUAAUAUAACUUUAUCUCAAUCGCACUACAUUGAAAAAGUGCUUGAAAAGUUUAAUCUUAUUAAUUGUAUACCAUCAUCUACGCCAAUGGAUCCUCAAAUUAAAUUAGUACCUAAUGCUGGUAGGGCUGUUGAUCAAUUACAAUAUGCAAGAAUAAUUGGUUGCUUGAUAUAUGCAAUGACAUGUACAAGGCCAAAUAUAACAUUUGCUAUUAGAAAGUUAAGUAGAUAUACAAGUAAUCCAGGUACUUUGCAUUGGCAAGCCAUAAAUCGAGUAUUAAGAUAUUUAAAGAAAAUAAUUAAUUAUGGACUUUGCUAUCAUAGAUAUCCAUAAGUACUAGAAGGAUAUUUGGAUGCUAGUUGGAUUACAAGUUUAGAAGAUCAUGCUUCCACAAGUGGAUGAAUCUUCACGCUUGGUGGGGAUGCUAUUUCUUAGGGGUCCAGGAAACAAACAUGUAUAACUGAUUCUACCAUGGCAACCGAUUUUAUUGCAUUAGCUACUGCCACCAAGGAAGUUGAAUGGCUAAGAAAUUUACUCUAUGGUGUGCCUUUAUGGCCUAAACCAAUUUCUCCAAAUUUUAUCCAUUGUAAUAUUGAAGCAACUUUAGUAAAAGUAUAUAGCCAAGUGUAUAAUGGAAAGUCUAGACAUAUUGGAUUAAGACAUAGCUAUGUUCGAUAAUUAAUUUCUGAUGGAGUGAUCACUAUAACUUUUGUGAGGUUUAGUGAAAACUUGACGGAUCCUUUAACAAAAAAUCUUGCUAGAGAUCUUGUAAAUAAGACCUCAAAAGGGAUGAGGCUCAAGCUCAUAAAUUGAAAGUUACCAAUGGUGGAAACUCGACUCAACGCUUGGUAUAACGUUAAGUCUUGAGUUCAAUGAGAUAAAGUCCAUCAUUUGUAUGUGGCUGCUAGCACUAUAAUAUAAUAUAUUCCAUCCUAACUGAAGUGCUAGGUACCCGUAAUGGUAAGGAAAGGAUGAGUUAUAUAGCUUAAUAGACCUAUAACAUAAUUUGUUAAAAUGCUUUAGCUACGGGGGCAUUCAUGGGAUCUACCUAUGUGAGUGUGAAGUGUGGCCGUUUCUAGAAGUUCAAGAGCUUGGCUCUAACAACACUCAUGAAAAGAAGAUAUAGACGCAUGGCCAUAAAAGCGUCACCAGAAACUAUGCAUUCAUUGGUGUUGAAAUCGUUGUAUGAGAUGUAUUCGGUUAACCAAAUGGAAUAACUGGUUCAAAGUAUUGUCUACCAUGCAAUUUCAGUUAACUUUAAUAUGUUUUCACUAAGUGAAGGUUCAAUUGGAAGACACCUUCAUUUAUGCAAUUGAUUUACAAGAUUAUCGAAAAUUUGAAUUAAUUUGAAAAUGGUGAGGGAUUGUUAGAUAUUUUCAAAUAAAAGAUAUGAUUUCACAUCUUAAUAGAAGGAAACAUUGUGACUAUUGGAAAUUAAAUUAAAAGAAGGGUUAUGUCUGUUGAAAAUAAAAAUAAAAAAAAUAAAAUAAAAGAGAGAAUAAGAAAAAGAGUUACGUCUGUUGAAAAAGACCAACAGGAGCAAUUCUUUGAAAUAGACACAAAUAGUGUCUGUUGGGAACAAACAUUUAUGCCUAUAAAAGAGACUCUCUUUAUCCAACAGAAUGUACAUCAGAAAAACAAAAACUUUCCUUCUUUGCUCAAAUUCUGAAGUUUUCUUCUAUACUAUCUUUUUGUAGAAAAAUACUAUUGAAGUUUGAUAAUCUUAUUAUACUCUAGUGAGUGCGCAGUGGAUUGAUUUUGUCAGUGGAUUGAUUUUGUCAGUGCAAAACAUCAUCAAUCAUUGAGUUUCAUUGUAUUUUCGAGAUUUAUACGUCGGUAACUCUUUUGCACACUACUAGUGGGGGCGAAUAAAACUUUAAAGAUAAUGAUAUUGAUACGCACUUUGAAACCAAUUUCUAAAUUUUCAGUUUGGUGUUCUAACAUGCUUCACUAUUGUUGUAGUGUGACAGCUACCUAUUGCCAUGCCUAUGACAGCUAUGCACCUAAUGGAUGACUGAUAUGAUAUUUAGACUCUGAUGGAGUGUAGUAAUGUCAAUGCUAUGAUCAAAACCUUACCUUUGAAUCCAUGUAAUAUAUAUUUUAGAAAAGUUAAUGAAUAUCUCACUGGGAUGGACUUUGUUUUCUCUGGUUUUUUGCUCUUUCUUCUCUUCUUUUCUACUUUGUUCUCAUUUUAUGACUGCUUGUUCAUCUGAUAUGCAAUGCUGAGUUUCAUUCAAGUCACAAAACAAUAGUUUAAACCUAUAAUUAAAAAAAAAAAAAGCUGGAUUUCCUUUUUUUUUUUUUUAACACAUUUGCCCUUUUUCCUCUUUGUUUGAGGACGUCAUCUGCGGGUGGUGGUUAUUAAUGAAAACACAGACAAGACUAGCAACUCACUAAGUAACAACAAAAGAAGGUGUAAUUUUUUUUUUAAGAGCAAAGAAAGCAUAAUUUAAGCCGCUCUCAAAUUAAAAGACACUAAGAGCCUGUUUGGUUUGAUUUCUUUUUAACUUAAAAGCUAUUAUGAAGGUUUUAUGAAAAAUAAUAGUUUUUAAAAUAAAAUUAAUACUGCUUGAUAAAUUUACUUUUAUAAGUUUUUUUUUUAUAAGUUAUAAUUUUUUGUUAAAAUUAUCAUAGAAGGUAUUUUUUUUGAAAGGGUAAUAUUAUAAUUAUUUUUAAUAAAUGAAGAUAUUUUUGAAACAAAAAUAAAAAUUCUUCUGUAUUUUUAAAAGAAGAGAAGAAAAAGCUUCCCCUUAGAGCUUUUUUUAAAAAUUUUAUUUAUAAAAAAAAUUAUUUUUUUUUAAGAGUUUAUUAAAAAAUCAUGUUUAGCUUGACUUUUACUUUUAAGAGGUAAAUAAACUGAAAAAAAACUAAACUAAACAUGCACUUAGAAGAGCGAAGAAUCAGGGAGGAAUCUCAGUCACUUUGGGUCAAUGAAAGAAUUGGAAUUCAAAGAAGAAAAAAUUAUUGGAAUUCAAAGAAGAAAACAUUCUCUUUCCUAUUUGGACGGUGAAAAACUGAGAGAGAAGGUGAAAGAAAAGUAAAAAAAGAAACCCAAAGGUUGAAAUAUUUUUUUAAUUAAAUAAAUAAAUUACAAAAAGAUUAAAAUAAAGGCUAUUAUUAUUAUCUAUUUACAAAAAAUUAAUUGAAAUUUUUAAUAUAAUUACCUAUUUGGAAAUAGAACUAAAAUACAAAGUUUCAUUUAGAAAAAAAAAAAAACUUCAGAGUAUUAUGUGAGAAAAGGGGUAUAUGUGAAAUUUACUCUAAAGAUAUUAUGCUUUAAUCUUCAUCAAAUGAAACUGAAAUUUCUAAAUCCAGCAAGCUCUCUUAUUGCCCGAGAGAUUUGUCAAUUGUGCUUGUAUGUGUCUUCAUAAGAAAAAUGGCUUUGCUAAUAGCCAAUAGGAAUUGAAAGAUCUCAUGAAAAAGAAAUCAAAUUUGAAAUGCAUUUCUGUGAAUAUUUUAUGAAAUGGAGAAGAAAAAGAAAAAAAAAACUGCUACUUUGUUGAAGAAACAAUAUCCUUUAAGCACGUUUGGUUUGCGGAAUAAAAUAAGUAUUCUAUGAUAAUAUAAUAGAAAUAUUAUUAUAUAGUUUGGUUGACGAAUGAAAUAAUGUAAAAAUUGCUAUUAUAACUUAUUAAAAUGUUUGGUUGGUAAAAAUAAUUUUAGAAUAAUAAAAGGAUAGAUGAUAAAAAGAAUAAAAAUAUUUUUUAUUAUAAUAUAUGAUUAUCUAUUUUUAUUUUAUUUUAUUUUUAUAAAAUUAAAAAUUUAUAAUUUAUUUAAAAUAUUAAUAAUAGAUAAUUUAAAUAUUAUUAUUUUUUAUGAUUUAAUGAUUAACAUUUAAAUAAUUAAUAUUUUAUUUAUAAUAUAAAUAUUAUUAUGAUUAAAAUAUUAAUCAUUUUAAUUAAUUUUUUAAAUUUAAAAUAUUAAUUUUUAUAAUAUAUAAUUAAAAACUUAAACAGUUUAUUAUAAUAUAUGAUUAUAUAUUUUUAUUUUAUUUUUUAAAAAAUAUUAAUAAUUUAUAAUUUAAUUAUUAAAAAUUUUUAACUAUUAAUAUUUUAUUUAUAAUUUAAAUAUUAUAAUGAUUAAAAUAUUAAUAAUUUUAAUUAUUUUUAAAUUUAAAAUAUUAAUUUUUAAUAAUAUAUAAUUAAAAACUUAAACUUUUAAUUAUAAUAUAUGAUUAUCUAUUUUGUUUUAUUUUGUUUUUUACAUAUUAAUAAUUGAUAAUUUAAAUAUUAUUAUGAUUAAAAUAUUAAUAAGUUUAAUUAAUUUUUAAAUUUAAAAUAUUAAUUUUUAUAAUAUAAUUAAAAACUUCAAGUUUUUAUUUUAAAUUCUUUUUUUUUCAUUUCACUAAUAAGGAGUAUUAGUGUCUUGUUAAUUUUAGAAACUAUUCCCCCAUCUAUGGAGUAGCAAAUACCAUAAGAGUUUGAAUUAAAUAUUCAUAAGGAAAUGAUUUAGCUAUUUCCCAACCAAACUUACUGUUAAUGUAUAACUUUAUGCUAACAUUUUGUUAUGAAACCUAAAAAACAACAAAGAUAAAAUAUAGAGAAAUCAAGCAAAAUAAAAAACACCAGAAUUUACAUAAUUCAACUUCUUGUAGAGAUGUCAAUGGAUAAAGUACUCUUUAAUUUUGAGUUACAUGAAUCCAAACCCGAUUAGUAAAUGGGAUACCUAAACCCUAUAAUUACUUGAAUAUUUUUAAAAUUUACUAUCCUAAUCCGAACCCUAAUACAUACCCACUACCCAAUAAGUACCCGAAUCCGUUUAAAAAUCCGAUUAUAUACAAAAAUUAUUAAAAUGCUCUUCAUGGGUACUUAAUUAUCCAAAUCGAAAUCUGUACCCGUAUUUAUAUAUAAUAAUAUUUCUAUCCAUAUUCUAUAUAGUUCACUAAUAAUAAAAUUUAUAAGAGCNAGGAUAUGGGAGGUAAUAACAUGGGAAGCCUUGGGGGAAGAGUUUAAGAAGGUGAGCUUUGUAGCAGCACCGUUUGUGGUAGUGGCAUUGUCACGGUAAUAAGGAUUUAUUACUCAUAGUUUGAUCCAACUAAUAAGGAUUUAUACUCCUAUUUAUUUAAAGAACACUGCUACUAGCUAGAAGGACAUAAAGAGUGAAAAGAAUGGACGAGGCACUGUUUCCUAAGAAAGAAGGGAGGAUAUGGGAGAUAAUAACAUGGGAAGCCUUGGGGAAAGAGUUUAAGAAGGUGAGCUUUGUAGUAGCACCGUUUGUGGCAGUGGCAUUGUCACGGUAAUAAGGAUUUAUUACUCAUAGUUUUAUCCAACUAAUAAGGAUUUAUACUCCUAUUUAUUUAAAGAACACUGCUACUAGCUAGAAAGACAUAAAGAGUGAAAAGAAUGGACGAGGCGCUGUUUCCAAAGAAAGAAGGGAGGAUAUGGGAGAUAAUAACAUGGGAAGCCUUGGGGGAAGAGUUUAAGAAGGUGAGCUUUGUAGCAGCACCGUUUGUGGCAGUGGCAUUGUCAUGGUAUUAAGGAUUUAUUACUCAUAGUUUGAUCCAACUAAUAAGGAUUUAUACUCCUAUUUAUUUAAAGAACACUGCUACUAGCUAGAAGGACAUAAAGAGUGAAAAGAAUGGACGAGGCGCUGUUUCUUAAGAAAGAAGGGAGGAUAUGGGAGAUAAUAACAUGGGAAGCCUUGGGGAAAGAGUUUAAGAAGGUGAGCUUUGUAGCAGCACCGUUUGUGGCAGUGGCAUUGUCACGGUUAUAAGGAUUUAUUACUCAUAGUUUGAUCCAACUAAUAAGGAUUUAUACUCCUAUUUAUUUAAAGAACACUGCUACUAGCUAGAAAGACAUAAAGAGUGAAAAGAAUGGACAAGGCGCUGUUUCCUAAGAAAGAAGGGAGUAUAUGGGAGAUAAUAACAUGGGAAGCCUUGGGGGAUGAGUUUAAGAAGGUGAGCUUUGUAGCAGCACCGUUUGUGGCAGUGGCAUUGUCACGGUAAUAAGGAUUUAUUACUCAUAGUUUGAUCCAACUAAUAAGGAUUUAUACUCCUAUUUAUUUAAAGAACACUGCUACUAGCUAAAAGAACAUAAAAAGUGAAAAGAAUGGACGAGACGCUGCUUCCAAAGAAAGAAGGGAGGAUAUGGGAGAUAAUAACAUGGGAAGCCUUGGGGAAAGAGUUUAAGAAGGUGAGCUUUGUAGCAGCACCGUUUGUGGCAGUGGCAUUGUCACGGUAAUAAGGAUUUAUUACUCAUAGUUUGAUCCAACUAAUAAGGAUUUAUACUCCUAUUUAUUUAAAGAACACUCUUUCUUUGUUUUUUCUAAUGUGAAAUUGUAUCCCACACUUAUUAUAUUGUUGAAAAUGUCCAACAUUAUCUUCUCCACAUAUUAUUGCAUUUACUCUAUUUAAUAUUUCUUGUGUAUGAAAUUAAAUAUUUACAUUUUUAUGGAUUAUUAAAAAAAUAUCUACUUUCUAAAUAUAAUUUUUUUAAUGAUGCUAUUUAUUGAAAAUUAAUUUUAUAUGGGUCUCUAGUUUUUAUGAAACUUGAAGAGGAAAAGUUGUAAAAUAAGAAACAAAAUGCCUCAUUUUAAAGUUUUGUGUCAUUUAAAACUAGACACUCAAUUUAUGAAAAGAAUUAUAUUUUGAUGUUAUCUGUAUGUUACAUGGGAGAACAAACUAUUCAUGGUUUGUCAAGGAUGAUAUUUGUAUUAAUUGAAAGUACAACAUUUAGCAUUGGUUUGAGGAUGCUAAAACGGUUCUUGAGGUAGAUUAUAUAGGAACUACAACUCUACAAGGAGAUAGUAAUUUGCAUAAAUUGGUGCAAGAGCAAGACCUUUGCCGUUAGAUAUUUGACAACUCUUCCAAAUUGCAGCAUCCUUGCAUUGGAUGUGCAUAAAAUUCAAAGGGAACUUGAUUUUACUAAUUAUAUGUGAUGAUAAAAAUGGGUUGGUGAGGGUAGGGGGAUAGGAUAUAUAUCAGUGGGAUGAUCAUGUUGAAAACUCAUAGAUGAACGCCACACAAAACACAGUGUGCCUAGUUAAGCCAAAUAGGGCAUUAAUGGAUAAUUAUUUAGGAAGCCUACAAUAAAAAUGUUUUAGGAGGCAAACUAAGGGUGCAUUUGGUGCAAUGAAUUAGGAAGAGAAUUACUAUUUUUAUUGUAAUAUUAUUUUUUAAAGUUUAAUAAUAAAAUAUUAUUAUAUUUGAGUAUUUGAUUUAUUAAUUAAUGCAUUAUUUUCUUUUUAAAAAGAAUAAGGUUCGAAUUUUUUUCUUUUAAAUAUAAUAAAAUACUAUUUUUUAUUUUUAUAAAAAAAUAAAUUAAUAAAAAAUUACUUGAAUAGAUUUGAGUCUUUUCCCUUUUUCACAGUUUAAUCCGAAAAUUGGAACGAGCUAAAUAUUUGUAUCUAUUAUUAUUUAAAUGAAAAUGAAAUAAAUACGUUAGAAAACGACUGAAACGUACUUUGAUAUUUUGUUUUCCACAACCCAACCCUCUAUGUGUAGUAGCAGUAGGUCCAUGCCAUUAAUUUCUGAUGGACUAAAUUGUUUUUAACACCAAAACAAACGCGGCAAUCGCAGAAGAAUGCAUCAUUUGAAAAAUAAAAUUGAUAUCACUUUGAUCAAAUAUGAAGUAUUUUGACGUUGUUCUUGUUUAAUAUUUUUUGAAUUUGAAAUCUUAUUUUUUAAGUAAAGAAUUGUACAUUAAUUAAUAAAUUAGAUAUAUAUAUAUAUUUAUUUAUUUUUAAAGUCGGAUGGAUUUCAUUAAUAAAAAAGUGAGCAAAAGACUAACCAUCGAGGUAGGUGUCUCAAGCAUCGUCUCUGUCGGUGCCUAGGAGCAGAAACCAAACCUCUACAAAAGACAGACCUAGUUGCCUGUGAGAUAAACAUGAAAAACACCCUAAUCACACAGCAAACAGCUCACCACAAAACAAAUACCUGAACACCUAUACAACAUAACACCUAUGCGUUUGAUCCACUUAACCUCUCAACCAUCACAGCAUUAAUCAAUGAAUCAGAUACCUGGAUACGUUGUUCCUGUUUAUCUUGACCAUGUAACAGCAAUGAUUUUGAAAAGUCUAAGGAAAGUGGGAAGGGAAUUCCACAAGUAAACACCGCGUGAAGGCUUGGACCCAAACUAGGAAGGACAACUUUGGACAACUUAUUACUAACCACUCUUAAUUUCUUGGACUUUUCUUUUUUUUUUCUUUGUUUUUUAAUCGGACGUUUAAAAUUUACUCGAACAUAGUCAACAUUUGAUUAUUGAUUGAUACAUCAUAUUUUUUAAAAUUUAUUACUAAUUUUUAAAAUUUAAGAAUCUACCGUAUGAAUUUAUAAUAUUCAAUAAAUGUCUGAAACAUGUAUACUAAGAUCAAACGAAAAGCACUGCUUCCAUUCAUCAUCUGUUUGAUGGAUGGAAUGAUUCUACUUAAACCUUUUCUUUUCCCUUAUAAGUGAAAGCAACAUUGUGUUGUUUUAACAUAAAGAAGUCAUUAAAGCUAAGCAGCUAUGCAUCAUGAACAACGUUUAAUGCACAGCUAAAAGAAAAAUAAGAAACAGAGCAAGUAUGCAGUAAAGAAGAAAGAAGAAAAGUAAUCUGCAAUAAUAGCAAACUGGGCUAUAUUCUUCAUUCAUCCUUGAAAUAUAUAUGGAAACAAGUUAAUUUCAUGGAGUUUGUAUGCUACGAUACUCAGCUAACACCAAAGCAGCUUACCCAUACAUAUCUGACAUUAAGCCAAAACGUCAAACUACAAAACAGUGAGCUAUGGCUGUAUUCUUAUGACUUUAGUUGCUUGGUCUUCAGAGAAAGCCUUAUGGCACGUUUGAUUCGUGGAAUAGAUAAGAAUGGAAUAGAAUAGUUAUUACGUGGGAAUAGAAUGAGGUGGGAAUAGAAUAGAAUAAGUAUUAUGUAGUUUGGUAUGAUGAAUGGAAUAGAGUAUGAAUAAUUAUUAUGACUUAUUACAAUAUUUGGUUGGUAACAAUAGCUUUAGAAUAGGAAAGGAAUAGAAAAUAAAAAGAUAAAAAUACCAUUUAUUAUAUUUAAUUAUUUUUUAUUUUUUUUAAAUAUUAAUAAUUUAUAAUUAAUUAAAAUAUUAAUAAUUAAUAAUUAAUAUAUCAAUAUUUUAAUAUAAUUUAAUUACUAAUAUUUNNNNNNNNNNNNNNNNNNNNNNNNNNNNNNNNNNNNNNNNNNNNNNNNNNNNNNNNNNNNNNNNNNNNNNNNNNNNNNNNNNNNNNNNNNNNNNNNNNNNNNNNNNNNNNNNNNNNNNNNNNNNNNNNNNNNNNNNNNNNNNNNNNNNNNNNNNNNNNNNNNNNNNNNNNNNNNNNNNNNNNNNNNNNNNNNNNNNNNNNNNNNNNNNNNNNNNNNNNNNNNNNNNNNNNNNNNNNNNNNNNNNNNNNNNNNNNNNNNNNNNNNNNNNNNUUUUAUUUUUCCUUUUUUCUUUUUCUUUUCAUGGGCCGGUCGUCGAAAAGGCGACCGAUGUAACAAAACGCCGAUCUGGCGCACCAUGUGGCCAGAUCUGGCCACUACGGCGCCAGAUCGGCGCUUCCCCGCGGCUAGAUCUGGCUGUGGAGUGCCAGAUCCAACCGUGGGAUCUGGUCGGGAAGCACCAGAUCCGGUGCUUCCCGCUGCCAGAUCUGGCCGUUGAGUGCCAGAUCUAGCUAAAUCUCCGGCGUAACCUAGUCCUACCAUAUUCGGUAAUAAAAUCGUCGUCACAGCCGCUUCCGUCACAGUCGCCGUCGCUUUCGCUGUCGUCGCUGCCGCCACUAACAUCAUCUCCGGCGUUGAUGCCACUUAGAGAGAGAAUAAGAGAGGAAAGAAAAUGAGAAGAGAGAGAAAGAAAAAGGGAAAAUGAGAAAAAAAUAUAUAUGUAGGUCUAGGAUUGUAAUAUUUUUAAAUAAUAAGGGGUAUUUUAGUCAUAUCAUAAUUCAGAGCUAUUCUCAUGGUCACGGAAUAGCAGAAAUCAUGAGGAACCUCGGGUUUAACUAUGCCUGAGUUUUACCCGUUUUGAGAGAAUAACUAUUACUAAGUAAUAGCUAUUCUUUGUGAUAUUGCCAUACCAAACGGAGGUAAGCUAUUCCCUUGGGAAUAGACAGGGAAUAGCUUAGCUAUUUCCUGUACCAAACGUGCAGUUACUUCAAUACAUUAUGCACUGACCAUUGACAAGUAAGCAAUUGGCUCUGGACUACUUAACGUGUGAAUCAAUUCAUGUAGUUCCUUUCUACCUACAUUGCAUUAACCCUUGUACUCGUCCUUCCCGCGUGGUUCGGAACUGGAAGAUUAAAAAGCUUCCUAUUUGUUACAAGGGUGGUCCAGAAUUUGGUAUUUUCCCUCUUGAUUAAUUUUCCUGCAUUUCCAUCGUUAGUUAUUCGCAAGGUUUACAGAUCUAGUGUUAAUCUAUCUUCAGUUCUCAGUUCUCAGUUCUAGUGUUGUGAAAAUUUACAGAUCUCGUAUUAAUCCAUUUUCAGUUCUCAGUUCUUUGUUCUAGUGUUUGUGAAAAUUUUGGGGAGUGGAGAUGGCAGAUGCUCUUCUUUCAGCCGUUCUAAACACCAUCUUGGAGAACAUAAACUCCCUGUGGCUUGAAGAGUUUGGGAUCACAGGGGGAUUGAAAACCGAGCUUGAGAGUCUGCAGAGCACCUUAAGUACGAUCCAAGCGGUACUUCUUGAUGCAGAGGAGAAGCAGUGGAAGAGUGAGGCUAUCAAGAAUUGGCUGGGAAAACUCAAAGAUACGGCUUAUCAUCUAGAUGAUAUACUAGAUGAGUUUGCAACAAACACUCAAAAAGAAAGGCUGCAGAGAGAUGCUAGAAGCCAGGUAUGCACCUUCCAUUACCUUCCUAAACAGCUUUUAUUUCGCUCAAAGAUGGCGCAUAAGUUGAAGGAUGUUAGAGAAAAAUUGGAUGCAGUUGCUGGGGAGAGAUCCAAGUUCCAUUUGAGAGAAGGGAUGGAGCCCUUGGAGGACAGAGAAGUGAGUGAUACAGAGUGGAGAAAAACUAGCUCACUUGUAAAUGAAUUAGAGGUGUAUGGAAGAGAUAAGGAGCUGGAUAGAAUAAUCAAUAUGCUGUUGAACAAUUUAGCAGAUCAGGAUGGGAUUUCUGUUUACACUAUAUGUGGCAUGGGAGGACUCGGAAAGACAACACUUGCUCAAUUGGUUUAUAAUGAUGAAAGCAUAAGAAAGGCUUUUGAUUUGAGAAUUUGGGUAUGUGUAUCCGAUGAUUUUGAUAUUACAAGAUUAACAAAAGCCAUUAUAGAGUCCAUUGAAGGAAAGUGCAGUAUAGAAGAACUAGAUCCCCUGCUAAGACACCUACAAGAAAAACUAAUUGGGAAAAGGUUUUUGCUUGUAUUGGAUGAUGUGUGGAAUGAAUAUCACGAAAAGUGGGAAGGAUUGAAGGAAGCAUUUAGAUGCGGUGCGAAAGGAAGCACAGUUAUAGUCACUACCCGUAUCGAGAA